CAGCCGCCACGGUAAUACGGAGGGUGCAAGCGUUAAUCGGAAUUACUGGGCGUAAAGCGCACGCAGGCGGUCUGACAAGUCAGAUGUGAAAUCCCCGGGCUUAACCUGGGAACUGCAUUUGAAACUGUCAGGCUGGAGUCUUGUAGAGGGGGGUGGAAUUCCAGGUGUAGCGGUGAAAUGCGUAGAGAUCUGGAGGAAUACCGGUGGCGAAGGCGGCCCCCUGGACAAAGACUGACGCUCAGGUGCGAAAGCGUGGGGAGCAAACAGGAUUAGAUACCCGUGUAGUCCCUGUCUCUUAUAC
rnacentral:rRNA from 1 species